UACGUAGGUGGCAAGCGUUGUCCGGAUUUAUUGGGUUUAAAGGGUGCGUAGGUGGUCAAUUAAGUCAGUGCUGAAAUAUCCCGGCUUAACCGGGAGGGUGGCAUUGAUACUGAUUGACUUGAGUAGAGUUGAGGUAGGCGGAAUUGACGGUGUAGCGGUGAAAUGCUUAGAUAUCGUCAAGAACACCGAUAGCGAGGGCAGCUUACUAAGCUCAAACUGACACUGAUGCACGAAAGUGUGGGGAUCAAACAGG
rnacentral:rRNA from 1 species